GCGANCUUUCCAUGCAAGUCGUACGAGAGUUUUUAACUCAAGUGGCGGACGGGUGAGUAACACGUAAGAAUUUGCCUUUAGGAGGGGGAUAACAUCAGUGAGCUAUUAAGCACGCUAAUUGAAAAAGUUGCUAAUACCCCAUAUGCUUUCGAGUGAAACGGAUUUUUCCGCCUAGAGAGAAGCUUGCGGCUGAUUAGCUUGUUGGUGAGGUAAUGGCUCACCAAGGCGACGAUCAGUAUCUGGUUUGAGAGGACGAUCAGACACACUGGAACUGAGACACGGUCCAGACUCCUACGGGAGGCAGCAGUGGGGAAUUUUCCGCAAUGGGCGAAAGCCUGACGGAGCAAUACCGCGUGAGGGAUGACGGCCUAUGGGUUGUAAACCUCUUUUUUCAGGGAGGAAUAAAUGACGUGUACCUGAAGAAUAAGCAUCGGCUAACUCCGUGCCAGCAGCCGCGGUAAGACGGAGGAUGCAAGUGUUAUCCGGAAUCACUGGGCGUAAAGCGUCUGUAGGUGGUCCAAUAAGUCAACUGUUAAAUCUUGAGGCUUAACCUCAAAAUCGCAGUCGAAACUAUUAGACUAGAGUAUAGUAGGGGUAAAGGGAAUUUCCAGUGGAGCGGUGAAAUGCGUANAUAUUGGAAAGAACACCGAUGGCGAAGGCACUUUACUGGGCUAUUACUAACACUCANAGACNAAAGCUANGGUAGCAAAUGGGAUUANAUACCCCAGUANUCCUAGCCGUAAAACUAUGGAUACUANAUGUUGGACAGAUCNACCUGUGCNNUAUUAAAGNCUAACGCGUUAANUAUCCCGCCUGGGAAGUAUGCUCNCAANAANUGAAACUCAAA
rnacentral:rRNA from 1 species